rnacentral:rRNA from 1 species
GACGAACGCUGGCGGCGUGCUUAACACAUGCCAGUCGAACGGAAAGGCCCUGCUUGCAGGGUACUCGAGUGGCGAACGGGUGAGUAACACGUGGGUGAUCUGCCCUGCACUUCGGGAUAAGCCUGGGAAACUGGGUCUAAUACCGGAUAGGAGCCAUUUUUAGUGUGAUGGUUGGAAAGUUUUUUCGGUGUAGGAUGAGCUCGCGGCCUAUCAGCUUGUUGGUGGGGUAAUGGCCUACCAAGGCGGCGACGGGUAGCCGGCCUGAGAGGGUGGACGGCCACAUUGGGACUGAGAUACGGCCCAGACUCCUACGGGAGGCAGCAGUGGGGAAUAUUGCACAAUGGGCGCAAGCCUGAUGCAGCGACGCCGCGUGGGGGAUGACGGCCUUCGGGUUGGAAACUCCUUUCGCUAGGGACGAAGCUUUUUGUGACGGUACCUAGAGAAGAAGCACCGGCUAACUACGUG